rnacentral:rRNA from 1 species
AUUGAACGCUGGCGGCAGGCCUAACACAUGCAAGUCGAACGAGUGGCGGACGGGUGAGUAAUGUCUGGGAAACUGCCCGAUGGAGGGGGAUAACUACUGGAAACGGUAGCUAAUACCGCAUACCAUCGGAUGUGCCCAGAGGGGAUUAGCUUGUAGGUGGGGUAACGGCUCACCUAGGCGACGAUCCCUAGCUGGCCUGAGAGGAUGACCAGCCACACUGGAACUUAGACACGGUCCAGACUCCUACGGUAGGCAGCAGUGGGGAAUAUUGGACAAUGGGCGCAAGCCUGAAGCAGCCAGGCCGCGUGUAUGAAGAAGGCCUUCGGGUUGUAGAGUACUGUCAGCGGGGAGGCGUUACCCGCAGAAGAAGCACCGGCUAACUCCGUGCCAGCAGCCGCGGUAAUAC